ACGAGCGAGUGCUUAAAACUCAAAGAACUUGGCGGCUUGUUAACUACCUAGGGGAAUAUGCGCCUUAAUCCGAUGGUCCCCGCAACAUCUUACUGGAUCUUGAAAGAGUGCAGUCGGUGUAUUGCCGUUGUCAGCUUGUUGUUCGAGCAAAGAAAAACAGGCUUAAUGGGUCUCUAGGGAUUAGGUUCGUGAGAAUCCAUGAAUUCAGGUCGUAAUGCUGCCUACGGUCCAAGGGAGUGGGUAUUACAAUUUAUAUUUAAAACUACGGAUCUUUAUUGUGAAAUUUUAGGGAAGAAGGUGAACUUAGGAGUAA
rnacentral:rRNA from 1 species